rnacentral:rRNA from 1 species
UACGUAGGGGGCAAGCGUUGUCCGGAUUCAUUGGGCGUAAAGAGCGUGUAGGCGGCCAGGUAGGUCGGUUGUGAAAACUGGAGGCUCAACCUUCAGAGGUCGACCGAAACCAUCUGGCUAGAGUCCGGGAGAGGAGAGUGGAAUUCCUGGUGUGGCGGUGAAAUGCGCAGAUAUCAGGAAGAACACCCGUGGCGAAAGCGGCUCUCUGGAACGGUACUGACGCUGAGACGCGAAAGCGUGGGGAGCGAACAGG